GCUGUUGUCACCUGUCACAAAUAACAACAAUAACAAUAAAUAAAUGUAAACAAAAAAAUAAAAACAUUAUUAAUAAAAUAUAAACAAUGCGAAAAAAUAAAUAAAUAAUUAUGUUGUAUUUUAUUGUCUUACUGUGCUUAGUGUGGCCCAAGAAAAUGUAACAAAAACAUUAACCUAAAACAAAAAUAGAGUCUUGAAGAAGUUACUAAAUUUCAAAUAAUAAAUACAACAAUAAGGUCAAAGUUGAAGCAGGUUGAAGUUGUUGCUGUACCACAUUUUUAUCUACAGCUGUAACCAAAUGUUGUUAUAUUUAUUGUUGUGUAAUAAUUCAUUUAUGACAUUCAAUUAAAAGCUUUCAUAAAACCAAAAGCAUCAUUAUUCGUUAUGGCAUAUGUGGGUUCCAAAUCAACUGGUCAAAGAUCAACAUUAUUGUUUUAAUCAUAUGAAAGCUGUAUGCUGUAAUAAAUUGAUAAUUUAAUGAUUUUCUUUAUCAAUGUUUAUUAAUACCAGCUAAUUGUUUCUGUUUGGUGCUGUUGAAUGACUUUAAAAAUAAAAAUUAAAUAUUGUUAUUAAAAAAACUUGAUAAAAUGGAUUCAACUCAUCAAACUUUGGUGACUGAACCAUGAAGUAGGUAGACCUCCAUGGUCUGAACAAAAUUCAAGUCAAGAUAGUACACUUGAUAGCAAUAAACAAAUGUUAACAAAAAUA